rnacentral:rRNA from 1 species
GAUGAACGCUAGCGGGAGGCCUAACACAUGCAAGCCGAGCGGGAUUUGUUGGUUAGCUUGCUAACUAACAAUGAGAGCGGCGUACGGGUGCGUAGCACGUGUGCAACCUGCCUUUAUCUGGGGGAUAGCCUUUCGAAAGGAAGAUUAAUACCCCAUAACAUAUUGAUUGGCAUCAGUUAAUAUUGAAAGCUCCGGCGGAUAGAGAUGGGCACGCGUAAGAUUAGCUAGUUGGUGAGGUAACGGCUCACCAAGGCUGCGAUCUUUAGGGGGCCUGAGAGGGUGAUCCCCCACACUGGUACUGAGACACGGACCAGACUCCUACGGGAGGCAGCAGUGAGGAAUAUUGGACAAUGGGUGAGAGCCUGAUCCAGCCAUCCCGCGUGAAGGACUAAGGACCUAUGGGUUGUAAACUUCUUUUAUACAGGGAUAAACCUACUCUCGUGAGGGUAGCUGAAGGUACUGUAUGAAUAAGCACCGGCUAACUCCGUG